rnacentral:rRNA from 1 species
UCGAGAAUCUUCGGCAAUGGGCGCAAGCCUGACCGAGCGACGCCGCGUGGAGGAUGAAGGCCCUCGGGUUGUAAACUCCUGUCGAGGGGGAAAAAGGUCUCGCAAGAGGCUUGAUUGAUCCCUGGAGGAAGCACGGGCUAAGUUCGUGCCAGCAGCCGCGGUAAGACGAACCGUGCGAACGUUAUUCGGAAUCAUUGGGCUUAAAGCGCGUGUAGGCGGAUAAGCACGUCCGACGCUGAAAUCCCCCGGCUCAACCGGGGAACGGGCGCGGAUACGGCUUGUCUGGAGGGGCGGAGGGGGACCUGGAACUUCCGGUGGAGCGGUGAAAUGCGUUGAGAUCGGAAGGAACGCCCGUGGCGAAAGCGAGGUCCUGGACGCCUACUGACGCUGAGACGCGAAAGCCAGGGGAGCGAACG